GAUGAACGCUGGCGGCGUGCCUAAUACAUGCAAGUCGAGCGAACGGACGAGAAGCUUGCUUCUCUGAUGUUAGCGGCGGACGGGUGAGUAACACGUGGAUAACCUACCUAUAAGGCUGGGAUAACUUCGGGAAACCGGAGCUAAUACCGGAUAAUAUUUUGAACCGCAUGGUUCAAAAGUGAAAGACGGUCUUGCUGUCACUUAUAGAUGGAUCCGCGCUGCAUUAGCUAGUUGGUAAGGUAACGGCUUACCAAGGCAACGAUGCAUAGCCGACCUGAGAUGGUGAUCGGCCACACUGGAACUGAGACACGGUCCAGACUCCUACGGGAGGCAGCAGUAGGGAAUCUUCCGCAAUGGGCGAAAGCCUGACGGAGCAACGCCGCGUGAGUGAUGAAGGUCUUCGGAUCGUAAAACUCUGUUAUUAGGGAAGAACAUAUGUGUAAGCAACUGUGCACAUCUUGACGGUACCUAAUCAGAAAGCCACGGCUAACUACGUG
rnacentral:rRNA from 1 species